GAUGAACGCUGGCGGCGUGCCUAAUACAUGCAAGUCGAGCGAACGGACGAGAAGCUUGCUUCUCUGAUGUUAGCGGCGGACGGGUGAGUAACACGUGGAUAACCUACCUAUAAGACUGGGAUAACUUCGGGAAACCGUAGCUAAUACCGGAUAAUAUUUUGAACCGCAUGGUUCAAAAGUGAAAGACGGUCUUGCUGUCACUUAUAGAUGGAUCCGCGCUGCAUUAGCUAGUUGGUAAGGUAACGGCUUACCAAGGCAACGAUGCAUAGCCGACCUGAGAGGGUAAUGGGCCAAACUGGAACUGAGACACGGUCCAGACACCUACAAGAAGCAGCAGUAGGGAAUCUUCCGCAAUGGGCGAAAACCUGACGGAGCAACGCCGCGUGAGUGAUGAAGGUCUUCGGAUCGUAAAACUCUGUUAUUAGGGAAGAACAUAUGUGUAAGUAACUGUGCACAUCUUGACGGUACCUAAUCAGAAAGCCACGGCUAACUACGUG
rnacentral:rRNA from 1 species